AUUGAACGCUGGCGGCAUGCCUUACACAUGCAAGUCGAACGGUAACAGGUCUUCGGAUGCUGACGAGUGGCGAACGGGUGAGUAAUACAUCGGAACGUGCCCGAUCGUGGGGGAUAACGCAGCGAAAGCUGUGCUAAUACCGCAUACGAUCUACGGAUGAAAGCGGGGGAUCGCAAGACCUCGCGCGGACGGAGCGGCCGAUGGCAGAUUAGGUAGUUGGUGGGAUAAAAGCUUACCAAGCCGACGAUCUGUAGCUGGUCUGAGAGGACGACCAGCCACACUGGGACUGAGACACGGCCCAGACUCCUACGGGAGGCAGCAGUGGGGAAUUUUGGACAAUGGGGGAAACCCUGAUCCAGCCAUGCCGCGUGCAGGAUGAAGGCCUUCGGGUUGUAAACUGCUUUUGUACGGAACGAAAAGGUCCUUUCUAAUAAAGAGGGCUCAUGACGGUACCGUAAGAAUAAGCACCGGCUAACUACGUG
rnacentral:rRNA from 1 species